GUCUUUUUGUUUAAUAAUUUAAAGUCUAAUCUGCUCACUGAAAUUAUAAUAUUUAAAGAGCCGCAAUUAAUUGUGCAAAGGUAGCAUAAUCAAUAGUUUUUUAAUUGAAAACUGGUAUGAAUGAUUGGACGAAAUAUAUUCUGUUUCUUAAUUAUUAUAUAAAAUUUAUUUUUUUAAUGAAAAAAUUAAAAUGAUUUUAAAAGACGAGAAGACCCUAUAAAUGUUUAUAUUUUUUUUAUAAAAAAUAUUUAUAAAAAAAAUAUUUUAUUGGGGUGAUAAAAAAAUUUAAAAAACUUUUAUUAUUGUAAUCAUUAAUUAAUGAAUUAUAUGUAUUUAUGAUCUAUAAGUUAUAAAUUAAGAUAAAGAUACUUUAGGGAUAACAGCGUAAUUUUAAUUUUUAGUUCUUAUAAAAAUUAAAGAUUGCGACCUCGAUGUUGGAUUAAAAUUUAUAUUAAAUGUAGAUGUUUAAAUAUUGGGUCUGUUCGACCUUUGAAAUUUU
rnacentral:rRNA from 1 species